CCUAUGGGAGGCAGCAGUGAGGAAUAUUGGUCAAUGGACGGAAGUCUGAACCAGCCAUGUCGCGUGCAGGAAGACGGCCCUAUGAGUUGUAAACUGCUUUUGUACAAGGGUAAACCUGAACACGUGUAUUCAGUUGUGUGUACUGUAUGAAUAAGGAUCGGCUAACUCCGUGCCAGCAGCCGCGGUAAUACGGAGGAUCCCAGCGUUAUCCGGAUUUAUUGGGUUUAAAGGGUGCGUAGGCGGAUUGUUAAGUUAGAGGUGAAAUGUUCGAGCUUAACUCGGGAACUGCCUCUAAUACUGUUGAUCUAGAGAGUAGAUGCGGUAGGCGGAAUGUAUGGUGUAGCGGUGAAAUGCUUAGAGAUCAUACAGAACACCGAUUGCGAAGGCAGCUUACCAAGCUAUAUCUGACGUUGAGGCACGAAAGCGUGGGGAGCAAACAGGAUUAGAUACCCGGGUAGUC
rnacentral:rRNA from 1 species